rnacentral:rRNA from 1 species
CCUACGGGUGGUAGCAGUGAGGAAUAUUGGUCAAUGGGCGCGAGCCUGAACCAGCCAAGUAGCGUGAAGGAUGACUGCCCUACGGGUUGUAAACUUCUUUUAUAAAGGAAUAAAGUGAGGCACGUGAGCCUUUUUGUAUGUACUUUAUGACUAAGGAUCGGCUAAAUCCGUGCCAGCAGCCGCGGUAAUACGGAGGAUCCAAGCGUUAUCCGGAUUUAUUUGGUUUAAAGGGAGCGUAGAUGGGUUGUUAAGUCAGUUGUGAAAGUUUGCGGCUCAACCGUAAAAUUGCAAUUGAUACUGGCAGCCUUGAGUACAGUUGAGGUAGGCGGAAUUCGUGGUGUAGCGGUGAAAUGCUUAGAUAUCACGAAGAACUCCGAUUGCGAAGGCAGCUUACUAAACUGCCACUGACAUUGAUGCUCGAAAGUGUGGGUAUCAAACAGGAUUAGAUACCCUGGUAGUC